rnacentral:antisense_RNA from 4 species
CUUCAACGAGCCGAGAUACAAAGGCUGUUCACGAUCCUGCCCGUAAGCCGCCAGCAGCGCCUGCGCCUC